AGCGAACGCUGGCGGCAGGCCUAACACAUGCAAGUCGAGCGCCCCGCAAGGGGAGCGGCAGACGGGAGAGUAACACGUGGGAACGUACCCUUCAGUUCGGAACAACCAAGGGAAACUUUGGCUAAUACCGAAUACGUCCGUAAGGAGAAAGAUUUAUCGCUGAAGGAUCGGCCCGCGUCUGAUUAGCUAGUUGGUGAGGUAACGGCUCACCAAGGCGACGAUCAGUAGCUGGUCUGAGAGGAUGAUCAGCCUCACUGGGACUGAGACACGGCCCAGACUCCUACGGGAGGCAGCAGUGGGGAAUAUUGGACAAUGGGCGCAAGCCUGAUCCAGCCAUGCCGCGUGGAUGAUGAAGGCCCUAGGGUUGUAAAGUCCUUUCGGCGGGGAAGAUAAUGACGGACCCGCA
rnacentral:rRNA from 1 species